GGCUCUGAGGUACAAUGGAAAGCAGUGGUGGUUAGUUUGAGCUUGGCCUAUGCUUCAAAGGUUGUGGGUUCAAAUCCCACCAGAGUCA
rnacentral:tRNA from 1 species